rnacentral:misc_RNA from 1 species
UAACAGGAGGCAUUGACGUAUCUUGAUUAGCGUGGGUUGUUAAGCCUUAGGGCAGUUAUUUUAAACUGAUAUAUAAAAAGAACUCCUAGGAACUUGCAAAGGAGUGUUGAUAUCUUGCAUUCUCUAUAAAUCUCUUCUUCCCCAGUAAUUCUUAUGUGUUCUUACCUUUCUAGUUCAAUUCUUCCUUUUGUUUGCAUCAUAAAUAAACAAAAUUCACAAACCCAAUUCAAUUGAAAUCAAAA